rnacentral:rRNA from 1 species
GGCGCAGCCUGGAUGCAGCCAUGCCGCGGUGGUGUGAAGAAGGCCUUCGGGUUGUAAAGCACUUUCAGUUCAGGAGGAAAGGGUGUGAGUUAAUACCUCACAUCUGUUGACGUUACUGACAGAAGAAGCACCGGCUAACUCCGUGCCAGCAGCCGCGGUAAUACGAA